GGAAGGGUCGCUCAGCGGCAAGAGCACCGCGGUGCCACCGCGGCGGCCGAGAGGCCGAGUGGCGUUCAAAUCCCACCCCUUCCG
rnacentral:tRNA from 1 species